rnacentral:rRNA from 1 species
UGACGGUACCUGACUAAGAAGCUCCGGCUAACUACGUGCCAGCAGCCGCGGUAAUACGUAGGUGGCAAGCGUUGUCCGGAUUUAUUGGGCGUAAAGGGAACGCAGGCGGUUUUUUAAGUCUGAUGUGAAAGCCUUCGGCUCAACCGAAGAAUUACAUUGGAAACUGGAAGACUUGAGUGCAGAAGAGGAGAGUGGAACUCCAUGUGUAGCGGUGGAAUGCGUAGAUAUAUGGAAGAACACCAGUGGCGAAAGCGGCUCUCUGGUCUGUAACUGACGCUGAGGUUCGAAAGCGUGGGUAGCAAACAGGAUUAGAUACCCUG